AUAAUUUUGUCUAUCAUAUAU
rnacentral:rRNA from 1 species